GACGAACGCUGGCGGCGUGCUUAACACAUGCAAGUCGAACGGAAAGGCCCUGCUUUUGUGGGGUGCUCGAGUGGCGAACGGGUGAGUAACACGUGAGUAACCUGCCCUUGACUUUGGGAUAACUUCAGGAAACUGGGGCUAAUACCGGAUAGGAGCUCCUGCUGCAUGGUGGGGGUUGGAAAGUUUCGGCGGUUGGGGAUGGACUCGCGGCUUAUCAGCUUGUUGGUGGGGUAGUGGCUUACCAAGGCUUUGACGGGUAGCCGGCCUGAGAGGGUGGCCGGCCACAUUGGGACUGAGAUACGGCCCAGACUCCUACGGGAGGCAGCAGUGGGGAAUAUUGCACAAUGGGCGGAAGCCUGAUGCAGCAACGCCGCGUGCGGGAUGACGGCCUUCGGGUUGUAAACCGCUUUCGCCUGUGACGAAGCGUGAGUGACGGUAAUGGGUAAAGAAGCACCGGCUAACUACGUGCCAGCAGCCGCGGUGAUACGUAGGGUGCGAGCGUUGUCCGGAUUUAUUGGGCGUAAAGGGCUCGUAGGUGGUUGAUCGCGUCGGAAGUGUAAUCUUGGGGCUUAACCCUGAGCGUGCUUUCGAUACGGGUUGACUUGAGGAAGGUAGGGGAGAAUGGAAUUCCUGGUGGAGCGGUGGAAUGCGCAGAUAUCAGGAGGAACACCAGUGGCGAAGGCGGUUCUCUGGGCCUUUCCUGACGCUGAGGAGCGAAAGCGUGGGGAGCGAACAGGCUUAGAUACCCUGGUAGUCCACGCUGUAAACGGUGGGUACUAGGUGUGGGGUCCAUUCCACGGGUUCCGUGCCGUAGCUAACGCUUUAAGUACCCCGCCUGGGGAGUACGGCCGCAAGGCUAAAACUCAAAGGAAUUGACGGGGCCCCGCACAAGCGGCGGAGCAUGCGGAUUAAUUCGAUGCAACGCGUAGAACCUUACCUGGGUUUGACAUGGAUCGGGAGUGCUCAGAGAUGGGUGUGCCUCUUUUGGGGUCGGUUCACAGGUGGUGCAUGGCUGUCGUCAGCUCGUGUCGUGAGAUGUUGGGUUAAGUCCCGCAACGAGCGCAACCCUUGUUCACUGUUGCCAGCACGUUAUGGUGGGGACUCAGUGGAGACCGCCGGGGUCAACUCGGAGGAAGGUGGGGAUGACGUCAAGUCAUCAUGCCCCUUAUGUCCAGGGCUUCACGCAUGCUACAAUGGCUGGUACAGAGAGUGGCGAGCCUGUGAGGGUGAGCGAAUCUCGGAAAGCCGGUCUCAGUUCGGAUUGGGGUCUGCAACUCGACCUCAUGAAGUCGGAGUCGCUAGUAAUCGCAGAUCAGCAACGCUGCGGUGAAUACGUUCCCGGG
rnacentral:rRNA from 1 species